AUGACGGAGCGGCAGGACGAGGCGUGGUGCUCGUGCUCGCCGAGGCAGUGCAGGAUUUGCCACGAGGAGGAAGGGGACGACGGCUGCGCAACCGCAACCGCCAUGGAGUCUCCCUGCGGAUGCUCUGGCUCCCUCAAGUAUGCUCACAGGGGGUGCGUGCAGAGAUGGUGCGACGAGAAGGGGAGCACCGUCUGCGAGAUUUGCCUCCAGAAUUACGAGCCUGGAUACACCGUUGCUCCCAAGAAAACUCAAGUUGCUCAUGUCGCAGUCACCAUCAGAGGGAGCCUGGAGGUCCCAAGGCAGGAUUAUGAGGCACCGGAGGAUGCCGUGUUGAUCGGGCUCGACGCGGCGGUGGGUGACCCGGCCUACGCCGAGUGCGCGAGCGCCGCCGGCAGAAGUGCUGCCUGGUGCCGGUCGGUGACGGUGACGUUCACUGUUGUGUUGCUGCUGAGGCAUCUCAUCGCCCUGGUGACCGUCGGCGCCGCGAAUCAGUACGCCUUCAGCCUGCUGACGAUAUACUUGCUGAGGGCGAGUGGGAUCUUGCUGCCGUUCUACGUCCUCAUGCGGCUCAUCUCCGCGGUGCAGCACGGCCAGAUGCAGUACCGGCUGCAGAUGCUCCAGGUGCGUUGCGUCGUCCGAGUUUUAGGCGCUGGUUGCAGGGGAGGUUCCAGUGAGCAAGUUUUUGACACCUGUUUCUUGCUGCAGGAUCAAAGAAGGAACGCAUCAAGAAUGCAACACGGGGUGCCCGGUCAGAGACAACAGCAGCAUGUGAUUCUUGUUGUGUGA
rnacentral:rRNA from 1 species